rnacentral:rRNA from 1 species
GGGUUGUGAGGUUAAGCGACUAAGCGUACACGGUGGAUGCCCUGGCAGUCAGAGGCGAUGAAGGACGUGCUAAUCUGCGAUAAGCGUCGGUAAGGUGAUAUGAACCGUUGUAACC